AACCCCAUCUCUACUAAAAAUACAAAAAUUAGCCAGGUGUGGUGGCACACGCCUGUAGUGGUGGUGCAUGCCUGUAGUCCCAGCUACUCAAGAGGCUGAGGCAGGAGAAUCACUUGAACUGGGAGAUGGAGGUUGCAGUGAGCUGAGAUCGCACCAGUGCACUCCAGCCUGGGCAACAGAGUGAGACUCCGUCUUAUAAAAGGAAGAGAGAAAGAAAAGAAAAAUUCCAUAUGUGAGUGUUUACUCCUGAGUUUUUGAGAUUGUUAUUAAGAUCGUGCUCUACUGUGAUGAUUUGGGUUUGUUUGAUAAUCAGAAAAAAGCAUAUUCUUUUAGGUGUUCAGCCACACUGCUUUGGUGUCACAACUGCACAUUGGUUUCACAGCUGCAGGACAAGUUCGAGCAUCUUAAAAUUAUUCAACAGGAGGAGAUAAGGAAGUUCGAGGAAGAGAAAAAACAACUGGAAGGAGAAAUCAUAGAUUUUUAUAAAAUGAAAGCUGCCUCUGAAGCACUGCAGACUCAGCUGAGCACCGAUACAAAGAAAGACAAACAUCACCAAACCAAUGCAGACCAAACCAAUGCAGAACUCCUAUGUGCUGAUGGUGGUCUUACGUUUCCCUAAGUUUCUGCCGACUAAACUGUGCACACGUUCUCAGGACCUCCUGAAGCUGCGUCACAGGCACUAAUCAAAGAACACAACCAAGAGUUUGGCCUUUUCUUCAGCACUGGGAAUUGUGAUCCAAAGCUUUCCCGGAUGAAGCACAAAGUUGGAGAAACAAAACGCAAACUAAACAACAACAAUGAAACAGAACAGAGUUAAUCUGCUGUAGCUCAAGAGAGGACGUACCUGCCCCCACCCCGCAUCCCUGGGCUCGGGUUUGCCUUGCUGACCUCUGCUGCCACCUGGUGCCACACAGAGAAACUGAGGAGAAACCACACCAGUCUCCUUCAGCCUCAGCUUCACAUCUGUGGGUCAAGUAACCCUUUCAGAAGCUGUAUAAUGUGGGAAAGCUUUCCUUUCAGGAAAAUGCACACAUCCAACUUUGAGAAGAUGCCCUUGGGGGCGCUUCAAGGAUCCUAGAUAAAGAACCCCCUUUCCCGAACAUCCAAGAACCUAAGUUUUUUUUUUUUUUUUGAGAAAGUCUCGCCCUCUCUCCC